rnacentral:rRNA from 1 species
GAUGAACGCUAGCUACAGGCUUAACACAUGCAAGUCGAGGGGUCUUUUGGAGCUUGCUUUAAAAGACGACCGGCGCACGGGUGAGUAACGCGUAUCCAACCUGCCCUUCAUAUUGGGAUAGCCUUCCGAAAGGAAGAUUAAUACCGAAUAACAUGAUAGAGUUGCCUGAUUUUAUCAUGAAAGCUCCGGCGAUGAAGGAUGGGGAUGCGUUCCAUUAGGUAGUAGGCGGGGUAACGGCCCACCUAGCCGACGAUGGAUAGGGGUUCUGAGAGGAAGGUCCCCCACACUGGAACUGAGACACGGUCCAGACUCCUACGGGAGGCAGCAGUGAGGAAUAUUGGUCAAUGGGCGCAAGCCUGAACCAGCCAAGUAGCGUGAAGGAUGACUGCCCUAUGGGUUGUAAACUUCUUUUAUACGGGAACAAACCCCGGUACGUGUACCGGAUUGCGUGUACCGUAUGAAUAAGCAUCGGCUAACUCCGUGCCAGCAGCCGCAGUAAGAC